rnacentral:rRNA from 1 species
GUGAUCAUCGAAUCUUUGAACGCACCUUGCGCCCUUUGGCCAUUCCGAAGGGCAUGCCUGUUUGAGUAUCAUGAACACCUCAACUCUCAUGGUCCGCCAUGAUGAGCUUGGACUUUGGAGGUCUUGCUGGCCUGUGGUCGGCUCCUCUCAAAUAAAUCAGCUUUCCAGUAUUGGUGGCAUCACAGGUGUGAUAACUAUCUACGCUCGUGGUGUUUUUCCAGGUAACACUGGGGGCUCAUAGACGUCUCUCCUUGGUGGGGACAGCUUCGUGAACGUUUGAUCUCAAAUCAGGUAGGACUACCCGCUGAACUUA